AUGUGUGUAUGUGUGUGUGUACGUGAAUGUAAUUUAUGCAUGUCCACAAAUUAGCACGCAUGUUGCUCCAAUUUUAUGAGGACAUUCAUCACGACCCUAGCUAUAUUUUCGUCAACUUAUUUUCCCAGAGGCACCAGUGAAUAGCGGUAAAAAUAAAUUUUCAACCAAAACGUUUAACAAUUUUCAACUUGGAGAACUCCACCAUUGUUUGCAACAGGAGUUAAGUCUCCUUCUAGCAACGAAUAAGUUUUUGUUAAGACUUUUGUUAAGUGUUUUUUUGCCAACAAAGAA